rnacentral:rRNA from 1 species
AGAACGAACGCUGGCGGCAUGCCUAAUACAUGCAAGUCGAACGAAGGCUUCGGCCUUAGUGGCGCACGGGUGCGUAACGCGUGGGAAUCUGCCCCUUGGUUCGGAAUAACAGUUGGAAACGACUGCUAAUACCGGAUGAUGACGAAAGUCCAAAGAUUUAUCGCCAAGGGAUGAGCCCGCGUAGGAUUAGCUAGUUGGUGAGGUAAAGGCUCACCAAGGCGACGAUCCUUAGCUGGUCUGAGAGGAUGAUCAGCCACACUGGGACUGAGACACGGCCCAGACUCCUACGGGAGGCAGCAGUAGGGAAUAUUGGACAAUGGGCGAAAGCCUGAUCCAGCAAUGCCGCGUGAGUGAUGAAGGCCUUAGGUUGUAAAGCUCUUUUACCCGAGAUGAUAAUGACAGUAUCGGAGAAUAAGCCCGGCUAACUCCGUGCCAGCAGCCGAC